GAUGAACGCUGGCGGCGUGCCUAAUACAUGCAAGUCGAGCGAACAGAUGAGGAGCUUGCUCCUCUGACGUUAGCGGCGGACGGGUGAGUAACACGUGGAUAACCCACUUAUCAGACUGGGAUAACUUCGGGAAACCGGCGCUUAUACCGGAUAAUAUACUGAACCGCAUGGUUCAAUAGUGAAAGACGGCUUUGCUGUCUCUUCUAGAUGGAUCCGCGCCGCAUUAGCUAGUUGGUAAGGUAACGGCUUACCAAGGCUACGAUGCGUAGCCGACCUGAGUGAGUGAUCGGCCGCACUGGAACGGAGACACGGUCCAGACGCCUACGGGAGGCAGCAGUAGGGAAUCUUCCGCAGUGGGCGGAAGCCUGGCGGAGCAAGGCGGCGUGAGUGAUGAAGGUCUUGGGAUCGUGAAGCUCGGUUAUGAGGGAAGAACAAAUGUGGAAGGAACUAUGCACGGCUUGACGGUACCGAAUCAGAAAGCCACGGCUAACUACGUG
rnacentral:rRNA from 1 species